rnacentral:rRNA from 1 species
UACGUAGGGUGCGAGCGUUGUCCGGAAUUACUGGGCGUAAAGAGCUCGUAGGUGGUUUGUCGCGUUGUUCGUGAAAACUCACAGCUCAACUGUGGGCGUGCGGGCGAUACGGGCAGACUGGAGUACUGCAGGGGAGACUGGAAUUCCUGGUGUAGCGGUGGAAUGCGCAGAUAUCAGGAGGAACACCGGUGGCGAAGGCGGCUUUCUGGACAGUAACUGACGCUGAGGCGCGAAAGCUAGGGGAGCAAACAGG